rnacentral:rRNA from 1 species
AAUAUUGGACAAUGGGCGGAAGCCUGAUCCAGCAACGCCGCGUGAGGGAUGACGGCCUUCGGGUUGUAAACCUCUUUCACCUGUGACGAAGCCUUUCGGGGUGACGGUAGCGGGAGAAGAAGCACCGGCCAACUACGUGCCAGCAGCCGCGGUAAUACGUAGGGUGCGAGCGUUGUCCGGGAUUAUUGGGCGUAAAGGGCUCGUAGGCGGUUCGUCGCGUCGGGAGUGAAAUUCCACGGCUUAACUGUGGGCUUGCUUUCGAUACGGGCGGACUGGAGGUAGGCAGGGGAGAACGGAAUUCCUGGUGUAGCGGUGGAAUGCGCAGAUAUCAGGAGGAACACCGGUGGCGAAGGCGGUUCUCUGGGCCUUACCUGACGCUGAGGAGCGAAAGCGUGGGGAGCGAACAGGAUUAGAUACCCUGGUAGUCCACGCCGUAAACGUUGGGCGCUAGGUGUGGGGGGCGUCUUGUUCUCCGUGCCGCAGCUAACGCAUUAAGCGCCCCGCCUGGGGAGUACGGCCGCAAGGCUA